rnacentral:rRNA from 1 species
GAUGAACGCUGGCGGCGUGCUUAACACAUGCAAGUCGAACGAUGAAGCCCAGCUUGCUGGGUGGAUUAGUGGCGAACGGGUGAGUAACACGUGAGUAUCCUGCCCUUAACUCUGGGAUAUGCCUUGGAGACUGGGGCUAAUACCGGAGAGGAGAGCCCACCGCAUGGUGGGUGUUGGAGAGAUUUAUCGGUUUUGGAUGGACUCGCGGCCUAUCAGCUUGUUGGUGAGGUAAUGGCUCACCAAGGCGACGACGGGUAGCCGGCCUGAGAGGGUGACCGGCCACACUGGGACUGAGACACGGCCCAGACUCCUACGGGAGGCAGCAGUGGGGAAUAUUGCACAAUGGGCGCAAGCCUGAUGCAGCGACGCCGCGUGAGGGAUGACGGCCUUCGGGUUGUAAACCUCUUUCAGUAGGGAAGAAGCGAAAGUGGCGGUACCUGCAGAAGAAGCACCGGCUAACUACGUG